GGGUGGCGCCCGCCCGGGGCUGGAAGGUUAAGAGGGGGGCUUAGCUUCGGCGAAGGUACGAAUUGAAGCCCCAGUAAACGGCGGCCGUAACUAUAACGGUCCUAAGGUAGCGAAAUUCCUUGUCGGGGAAGUUCCGACCCGCACGAAAGGCGCAACGAUCUGGGCACUGUCUCAACGAGAGACUCGGUGAAAUUAUAGUACCUGUGAAGAUGCAGGUUACCCGCGACAGGACGGAAAGACCCCGUGGAGCUUUACUGCAACCUGAUAUGGAAUGUUUGUACCGCUUGUACAGGAUAGGUAGGAGCCGAAGAGACGUGUGCGCUAGCAUACGAGGAGGCAAUGGUGGGAUACUACCC
rnacentral:rRNA from 1 species